CACAUAUCCCUGCAGUGCACCUUGUCCUCAGGAAAGUCUUCAUCAGGGACGUUAUAUUUAUCUUCUCUGAAUGGACAGCAUGUAGUGAGAGGUAAACAGACUCAAUCAGAUGACAAGCCCCCAAGCUGAGGCACAGAUAGAACGAGAAAAAGAGAGAGAAUGAGGGAAGGCAGGGAGAGUGAAAGAAGAGUGAAGAGAGGGAGGCGAAUCUGAGAUCCAUUUUGUGUCGUUUCAAACAGAACUGCUGCAAGACUUCGCCUAUCAUCAAUGAGUAAUCACUGAAAUAUCAACAGAUAACCAAAAGCUUUGACUACUUUACCUGACAGCUGAUUUCCUCAAGCCAAGACAUGGAAAGAACAGAGAAUAAAGUGUCCACCAUCUCCCCCCAAAAACAGACAGUGAAAAAUAGAUCCAAGUCCACAGAAGAGGUACAGCAAGCCAAAAAGGCCUUUCAUACUCCACAAAAAUCUCUUCCGGCUAAACCAGAAACCGAACAACUUGAGGAGACCUCAGAACUGAGUGCCUCAUCCGAGGAGUUCAAAUGAUUGCCGGAUUCAAACUCUCGGGCUAUGGGAUUUAGAGAGAUCAACCUGAAUUAUGGGUAAUAACAAGAGGAUGAUUCAGUGUCUUUGUUUAUGCAAUUGUGAUUUUAGUUUAGUCAGCAUAGAAGAAAACCAACAAUAAUCAUGUGUAGCUUCUUUAAUUUGUAUAUCAGCCUAAAGAUGUUUGUGAAAUAAAUGCAGAAAUGGAUAUGUCAAUUUUCGAUUUGUGUGUGCAAUUCAUAUUAGUAGGUUAAUGCAUGCACAAAAAAAUAAGUAACCUGGUUGCCUAAAAUUUUUAAGUUGAUUGAAAACUGGAAAAAUGAGUUAAAACAA